rnacentral:rRNA from 1 species
AACAAACGCUGGCGGCGUGCCUAAUACAUGCAAGUCGAACGGGAAAAGGCUUCGGCCGAGUACCAGUGGCGCACGGGUGAGUAAUGCAUGGAUAAUCUGCCCAAAAGUGGGGAAUAACCAGUCGAAAGAUUGGCUAAUACCGCAUAAGACCACGCAUUCUAAAGAAUGUGAGGUAAAAGGAGCAAUUCGCUUUUGGAUGAGUUCAUGUGGGAUUAGCUAGUUGGUGAGGUAAUGGCUAACCAAGGCUUUGAUCUCUAACUGGUCUGAGAGGAUGAUCAGUCAAACUGGAACUGAGACACGGUCCAGACUCCUACGGGAGGCAGCAGUAGGGAAUAUUGCAAAAUGGGGGAAACCCUGAUGCAGCGAUGCCGCGUGAGUGAUGAAGGCCUUCGGGUCGUAAAGCUCUGUCGCAUGAGAAUAAUAAAUGAAGGUAUCAUGCAAGAAAGGGUCGGCUAACUUCGUGCCAGCCGCCGCAGUAA